UCGAAACCGUCUCUCUGAUGCUCUUCCGAUGGAAGCUCCGACCUUUCGUCCCUCUUCCGCCUCCAGCCCCCAAGCCCUCGUUUUCCUCGGCUGCGGACGCGGCGGAGGAGCAUCUUCUUGAUUCGUCGACAUAUUCCGGGAGAGACAUUUCAAUCCUAGCGGAACGAGCGCCCGGGCCACUGUUCCGCCGAUCGAAUCGGAUGCGGGAUGGUCGGGAAGCUUGCGGCGCUGGGAAAGAUGGGAUCUUAAUGCACAGGAUGUGGUUUCGAGCACUAGAGUUCGGGACGCUAGGAUUUCUCGACUGCAGGCUUGCCAUGCUUUGGCUCGGGAAGGGAGGUUGAGGAGAUGAAGAGGGUUUUGAGGCAAAUGCCGGACCAAGAAGGGGGCGGCCACCUGCUUUUCAUCAUUUCAUGUCGACAUACUGGAAUGGAUCCCCCUCCUCCGCCACCCCCUCCUGAGGUGCCUCUCCUCCCGCCAGCACCCGCGCCACCACCGGUUGGUUUCCUGGAUUUAUGCUUAUGGUGUCUCUGCUGCUGUGGAUUAUUCACAAGCUGCUGUCCGCCGCUGUUUGAACCAGAACCCCCGCCACCGUGAUCUCAUUUUUUGAAAGAAUCUUUAGUGUUUGGGUACAGCAUGUGGUUCGACAUACUACUAUGAAAAAAUUUGUUGUUUUCUGAUAGUUUGUUACUAAAAAGGCAGCAAUUCUCCGUUUUCCUUCUAAUCACACUGAGGGUAAACUAUGUAGCUUGAAUGAAAAGUUUUCCACUUCUAAUGCCGUUCUCUUUUUCGUGCUUCUUCAUCCUUGCUUGACUGCUGUUAUCGAGAAGCAGAAAGCAUGUUGAAUAUUGAAUGUAAGAGCAAAUCUCUCUGAAUAAAUUUUCAAUUUACUUUGGUAAUCAUUUUGUUCUUAAUGAGAAAAAGUGCAGAGGCCCUAUAUUUGUAUUUA